rnacentral:misc_RNA from 1 species
GGGAGAUCGUUACAGAAUUCGUCUAGAGAUAAUUCCGUUAUAUUCGUUUCAGUUUUAAACGGGACUAUAAGUUGCUUUUAUAUUAUACAGCGAGGGAGGUAAUAUUCCAAACAGCGGGAAAUACGUAUCUACUUAUUUUUAUAAAAAGGAAAAAUGUUUAGAUCCUCAACAUCGACUGACCGAAAGUCUACGACUAUGAAGGAAUUCCUUAGAGUUGGCUAUGCAGGAAAAUUAUUUAGCCAAGAACUCCUCGAGUUAGGGCCAAUAGGGCAAAUGACUCCACCCAGGCUGAGACUGAUGUCGAACCUGCAAGACCAUGCUUUAAACGCUUAAAAAUAUGGCAGCAUAUGGUGGCACAGGCGGUUUGCAG